UUUCCCUAAACCUUCUUUCCAGAGCAUCUGCUAACCCACGCCGUUAGGCUCUCAGUGCCCUCGCCUGCUGACUUUUUAGUACUCGAUGAAUAGGACCGAUGGUGCGGAUCUGGAGGUGGAUCCAUUGGUGGAGGAGUCCGAGGUGGUAGGAGGGGGAACGGAGAACUGCGAGGAAAAAAGAUUGGAACUGGAUGGACUUACCGUCAGGAUCGGCGUGCCUGCUACUCUUAGCAAAAUAAGAUCGCACUGGAUGAGCUUAGGAGAUCAGGCAUUCUUCCUGCUGUUCAUUUCUUGCACGAAUUCUCUCUGUUUUAGCCCCAUUCUAUCAUGGUCAAAUUUGCCAAUUGAGCCAUUAGAUAAGGAUGCUGGAGGGGCUUAUCCAAAUGUUUGAGAAGGCCUUGUAGGGAAAGCCUAAUCUGGCUUGGGAAGGAGCCAUUACAGGGAGACCUCCAACUUUCAUUUUAGCUGUAGCAUUUACGUUACUCUAUCCAAGAUAAUCUAAUAUGAAAGAUGUAUUAUGUUUUCCUAAACUUUUCUGAACUUUUAUCAUGCCAUUUCUUUAUGAAUUUAUAUAAGCCCAGUUCAUUUUAUGAAAUUUUAUUAGACAAUUCCAUCUUAUAUGGCAGAAUUCUCUCUGUUUUAGCUCCAUUCUAUCAUGGUCAAAUUUGCCAAUUGAGCCAUUAGAUAAGGAUGCUGGAGGGACUUAUCCAAAUGUUUGAGAAGGCCUUGUAGGGAAAGCCUAAUCUGGUUUGGGAAGGAGCUGUUACAGGGAGACCUCGAACUUUCAUUGUAGCUGUGAUACUAAGCAUAUAAAGCAGAUAAAAUGUAAAUGAAAAGUUAACAGCUAUAGAGAAAGAGAGUAGGUCUUUUGAAAUCCUUUCAUUUUGGCUUAAGUCAUUAAUGUGAGAAAAUGAAAAACUCAUUUAUUGGGUAAUCAGUAGAGGAUGGUUGUGGAGGCCUGCAAUUAGGUGGAAUGCCCAUUGUCAAUGUGUUUUAUUGGAAAAAUGGGGCAUGCGGAGGACUAGUGCCAUGUGGUGCUCGAAUUGACUUGGUCCCACUAUGAUGGACUUCAACAGCUUCAUGUGAUGGGGUUCUACUAUUCAAUAUUUUUACAUCAACCUCAUCCACUUGCUAAAACCAAGAGGGAAGAUGAAUUGCAGGCAGAUUUGGGGCAGCAAUGGUGCUUUUGUUUCUUGCUACACCCAACUAGCUUUGAAUGUUUGGUUACUUUGAAACUUAAUGCAUCUCAUUGGAUGAUGCUGAUAAAUAUUUCUCUAGAACUGUGGAUCCUGGAUCCUAGAUCCUAUUGCAGUUUGUACCAGUUAUAUGAAUUGGUAGUUAUCAGUCUAAGUAAAUGCUAGUACAUAAAACUCUAAUUGAGAUUGUAUUGAUCUAUUCAAUAUUUUCUGAGUGCUACCCUUGUACAAACAAGGUAUGCAAGUCUGAUGUUCUGCUGAAUUGUAUACAAAUUAGAAUCUGCUCUUGUUGAAGAUAAUAAAGAGCUAAAGAUUCUUCACCUACGGAGAAAAGCCCUCCAAAACAAAAUCCAGACAUAUAGCCAAGAAUGCUAGAAGUUUGGGCAGCAAUGCAAUUGUGGCUCUCACUUGACUAAUGGUUAUGGAGUUUUGAUUAGACCCAAAUAAGGUUAUAUUUUGAAGGUCAAUGUUUUAAAUGAGAGUAGUUGGUUUAUUAGAACACAAUUUGUGAAUAACGUUCAUGUUGCCUGUUGAGAAG